AGAGUUUGAUCCUGGCUCAGGACGAACGCUGGCGGCGUGCCUAACACAUGCAAGUCGAGCGAUGAAGUUUCCUUCGGGAAAUGGAUUAGCGGCGGACGGGUGAGUAACACGUGGGUAACCUGCCUUAUAGUGGGGGAUAGCCUUUCGAAAGGAAGAUUAAUACCGCAUAAGAUUGUAGUAUCGCAUGAUAUAGCAAUUAAANGGAGCAAUCCGCUAUAAGAUGGACCCGCGUCGCAUUAGCUAGUUGGUGAGGUAAUGGCUCACCAAGGCGACGAUGCGUAGCCGACCUGAGAGGGUGAUCGGCCACAUUGGGACUGAGACACGGCCCAGACUCCUACGGGAGGCAGCAGUGGGGAAUAUUGCACAAUGGGCGAAAGCCUGAUGCAGCAACGCCGCGUGAGUGAUGACGGCCUUCGGGUUGUAAAACUCUGUCUUCAGGGACGAUAAUGACGGUACCUGAGGAGGAAGCCACGGCUAACUACGU
rnacentral:rRNA from 1 species